CAAUAGCGUAUAUUAAAGUUGUUGCAGUUAAAAAAGCUCGUAGAUUGAUGUCUGAUCUUAUAUAUUCGGUCGAGCCCGCAAGGGUUGUGUACUAGAGCAUUAGGGUCAUCUUUGUGAGGAUUUCACUCUGGCAUUAAGUUGUUGGUAUGAAAGGCUUACAUCUUUUUACUGUGAAAAAAAUUAGAGUGUUUCAAGCAGGCGUAAGCUUUUCGAAUACAUUAGCAUGGAAUAAUAAAAAUACGACUCGCGUGGUCUAUUUUGUUGGUUUGCACACGCAAGUAAUGAUUAAUAGGGACAGUUGGGGGAUAUUCAUAUUUGAGCGUCAGAGGUGAAAAUUCUUGGAUCGCUGAAAGAUGAGCUUAGGCGAAAGCAUUUUAUCAAAGAUGUUUUUUCAUUAUUCAAGAACGAAAGUU
rnacentral:rRNA from 1 species